rnacentral:rRNA from 1 species
UACAGAGGGGGCAAGCGUUGUUCGGAAUUACUGGGCGUAAAGGGCGCGUAGGCGGCCUGCUAAGUCGAACGUGAAAUCCCUGGGCUCAACCCAGGAACUGCGUCCGAUACUGGUUGGCUUGAAUCCGGGAGAGGGAUGUGGAAUUCCAGGUGUAGCGGUGAAAUGCGUCAGAUAUCUGGAGGAACACCGGUGGCGAAGGCGACAUCCUGGGACCGGUAUUGACGCUGAGGCGCGAAAGCCAGGGGAGCAAGCGGG